UAUAAAUGUAAUUUUUUAAACUAAUUGAUUAAUAGUUAUGAUCUUUAAAGUUAAAUAAUUUGGCGGUAUUUUAGUCUUUUCAGAGGAACCUGUUUUAUAAAUGAUAAUCCACGAUUUUAUCGUCUUAAAUUAGAAAUUUAUAUAUCAUCGUUAUUAAAUAUUUUUAUAGAAUUUAAUAUUUAUAAAAUAUAAUUUUAUUUUAAUUCAGAUCAUGGUAUAGUUUAUAUUUAAGUAUUAAUGGGUUACAAUAUUAAUAAAUUUAGAUUUUAAAUUUAAAAUUUAAAUGAAAUUGGAUUUGAAAGUAAUUAUUUUUUUAAAAUAUAAUGAUUUAGCUCUAAAAUAUGC
rnacentral:rRNA from 1 species